GUACUGGUACAUGAUGUUCCUUUAAAUACUCAUUAAUAAUUCCUAUAUAAAGAAUACUAAUGAACAUAAAAAAUUAUAUAACUUGUCAUCAUGAUAUUUAGCAUUUUAUGUAUCAACCGGUCUGCAGCAAAUGUUUAGAAUUUUUCUGCUUUGCAGUGAUUAGUCAAUUUUACGAAAUCGUCGAAUCGAAAAUGCACUUUCAAACAUGAACGACAAAGUGAUUGUUUAUAUUCAGUGUGGUUGUAAAUAAUUAUGAUUAUUC